GAUGAACGCUAGCUACAGGCUUAACACAUGCAAGUCGAGCGCCCCGCAAGGGGAGCGGCAGACGGGUGAGUAACGCGUGGGAAUCUACCUUUUGCUACGGAAUAACUCAGGGAAACUUGUGCUAAUACCGUAUGUGCCCUUCGGGGAAAGGACUUAUCGGCAAAGGAUGAGCCCGCGUUGGAUUAGCUAGUUGGUGGGGUAAAGGCCUACCAAGGCGACGAUCCAUAGCUGGUCUGAGAGGAUGAUCAGCCACACUGGGACUGAGACACGGCCCAG
rnacentral:rRNA from 1 species